rnacentral:lncRNA from 10 species
AAAGCAGAGUGGGAAGGACUUAAGGCUGACUGGGGACAUGGGAACCAAGGCCAGUACAGGGAAGAGGCCACCGCCAGGAGGCUGUGGCUGCAAUUGCUCUGAAAGAGGCGGGUGCGCAAGUUGGAGACUGCUGAGCUGUCCCCUUACCUUAGUCCAUGAAGACAACAGGCUACAGUGAAAGUAACAGUGAAGCCUGUAAUUGCUUACUAUGCUGGCGUAACCAAGAGGAGAAAACGCCACUCCCCUUAUGUUCCAUUUUUUUCCCCACAGGACAGCACCAGGACUAAGUGGCACCAGAGAUAAG